rnacentral:tRNA from 1 species
GCCUACAUAGCUCAGUUGGUAGAGCACUCCCUUGGUAAGGGAGAGGUCAUGAGUUCAAGUCUCAUUGUAGGCU